rnacentral:lncRNA from 1 species
AAUACCAAGAUACAAUAGUCAAAAUGUACUUUAUUACAUCGUAUCAUCCAGAACUUAAUUGUACUUACAAACUUGCAUGACCUCUUAAGCCAGCAUAAACAAAUAUUGUUUCAAAACCAUGAUAACAUUGUAUCAUAAAACUGCAGCGGAAAGGUAGAGCAAAUGGGCCUCAUCUACUCCUAGAGGAGAGAGCAUGUUGGAAUGUAAGCACAUGACCCAAAG